AUGGAGUUUGUGCUGAGCUGGGUUUUCCUUGUUGCUAUAUUAAAAGUCCAGUGUGAGGUUCAGCUGGUGCAGUCUGGGGGAGGCUUGGUACAGCCUGGGGGGUCCCUGAGACUCUCCUGUGCAGGCUCUGGAUUCACCUUCAGUAGCUAUGCUAUGCACUGGGUUCGCCAGGCUCCAGGAAAAGGUCUGGAGUGGGUAUCAGCUAUUGGUACUGGUGGUGGCACAUACUAUGCAGACUCCGUGAAGGGCCGAUUCACCAUCUCCAGAGACAAUGCCAAGAACUCCUUGUAUCUUCAAAUGAACAGCCUGAGAGCCGAGGACAUGGCUGUGUAUUACUGUGCAAGA
rnacentral:lncRNA from 1 species